rnacentral:tRNA from 2 species
UGUCCGGUGGUGUAAUGGUAGCACAUGGGUUUUUGGUGCCCUUAGUCAUGGUUCGAAUCCAUGCCGGAUAACCA